rnacentral:lncRNA from 1 species
UCUGGCUGUAGCCCAAUUAUCAAUCAAGUAGAAAGAUUAUAAGCAAGUAUGUAAAACCUCAGAAAACUGAUGUCUCCUGCCGGUUCAGCACCGUGAAUAAGCCAGCCAGGAAAGAAAGCAACACAAGACCCUGCACAGAGAGACUGAAGUGUAACAAUGUAGCGAGCAGAGGCCAGCUCUCCAUCAGCCCAGAGUGAGUCAGCACAACCAAGGCUACAGAUGCCUCAGAGGGAAACUGGAUAGUACAGGACUCCGAGGGCUUAACUAUAAGAACCAUGUCAAGGGACAUUUUCCAAACGGAAGGUUUGGGCAGAGCUGAGCUGGACAUGUGAAAAGAAUAGAAGACCUCAAAUCACUGAGUGGGAAGCUGCUUGUUCCAGAAAGAAAAACACGCCUAAGAGGAAGAGCCGUCUCCAGAAUUCAGAAGCCCACAAGCCACCUCCCCUUGCCCUCGGAGGGCAUGAUAGCAUCCCCACUGGUACAGAGAGCUCCUUACUGUCAGACUCCUACCCUGCAGGCAUGGAGGGAGGGAAGGAUAAUGAAGCCUUGGACAGUCAGCCCAGGAAUCCCAGACAACAGAACUCUUUACAGUUUCAUGAAGCAUCGAACAAGUGCUGUGGUCCACACUGUCAGAAGCUCCGCAUUAAAGUGUAAUGAUGGCUGCAGAGGCGGAGUGGCCAGGAAGAGCAGGAAGGCCGCGAGUGAAGGGAAAGGAAAACAUAUCAACUGAGACUGGGAAGAGAGAGUCAGAAGGAGCCCCACUGGACUUGCCUGGGUUGCAGUAAACACCUUGGGCUGUCUCUAUGAAGAUAAAGCUGUCAAUUAAAAC